GUCCUGGCUCAGGAUGAACGCUAGCUACAGGCUUAACACAUGCAAGUCGAGGGGCAGCGGGAUUGAAGCUUGCUUCAAUUGCCGGCGACCGGCGCACGGGUGAGUAACGUGUAUCCAACCUUCCGUACACUCAGGGAUAGCCUUUCGAAGGAAAGAUUAAUACCUGAUGGUAUCUUAAGCACACAUGUAAUUAAGAUUAAAGAUUUAUCGGUGUACGAUGGGGAUGCGUUCCAUUAGGUAGUAGG
rnacentral:rRNA from 1 species